rnacentral:rRNA from 1 species
UACGUAGGGGGCAAGCGUUGUCCGGAAUUAUUGGGCGUAAAGGGUGCGUAGGCGGCCUUUCAAGUCGGAUGUGAAAUCCCCGUGCUUAACAUGGGAAUUGCAUUCGAAACUGGAGGGCUUGAGUGUGGAAGAGGUAAGUGGAAUUCCCAGUGUAGCGGUGAAAUGCGUAGAUAUUGGGAGGAACACCAGUGGCGAAGGCGACUUACUGGGCCACAACUGACGCUGAUGCACGAAAGCGUGGGGAG